rnacentral:rRNA from 1 species
UACAGAGGGGGCAAGCGUUGUUCGGAAUUACUGGGCGUAAAGGGCGCGUAGGCGGCCUUCUAAGUCGAACGUGAAAUCCCCGGGCUCAACCCGGGAACUGCGUCCGAUACUGGAAGGCUUGAAUCCGGGAGAGGGAUGUGGAAUUCCAGGUGUAGCGGUGAAAUGCGUAGAUAUCUGGAGGAACACCGGUGGCGAAGGCGACAUCCUGGACCGGUAUUGACGCUAAGGCGCGAAAGCCAGGGGAGCAAACGGG